rnacentral:rRNA from 1 species
UCUACGGGAGGCAGCAGUGGGGAAUAUUGCACAAUGGGGGAAACCCUGAUGCAGCGACGCCGCGUGAGCGAUGAAGUAUUUCGGUAUGUAAAGCUCUAUCAGCAGGGAAGAAAAUGACGGUACCUGACUAAUACGCCCCGGCUAACUCCGUGCCAGCAGCCGCGGUACUACGUAGGGGGCAAGCGUUAUCCGGAUUUACUGGGUGUAAAGGGGGCGUAGACGGUCCUGCAAGCCAGAUGUGAAAGCCCGGGGCUCAACCCCGGGACUGCAUUUGGAACUGUAAGGCUAGAGUGUGGGAGAGGCAGGCGGAAUUCCUAGUGUAGCGGUGAAAUGCGUAGAUAUUAGGAGGAACACCAGUGGCGAAGGCGGCCUGCUGGACGAUGACUGACGUUGAGGCUCGAAAGCGUGGGGAGCAAACAGGAUUAGAUACCCGUGUAGUC